UCUGUCCUUUGCAAUUGGCACAUUAUCUUGUUUCACUUUAUGGGCAUGCAAAUUUAAAACUCUGACUUCAAAAUCACCAGUGCCACAGUACAAACCCGCUUCUAAAUAAAGUGACAUAGUUGAGCUGGAGAUGGAGAGCAGAUGAUGAGAACCAGACAUUGCAGAGGCAGCAGGAAAGAAUUGGCUAAGGGAGGGAUUUGGAGAGGAUGGAAGAGAGAGAGGGAGGAGCCAUGGGGAGAGGGAUGCACAGUAGGUCUAGCUUAAGUGCUGCGUAUUUCAAGUUCCCCUAGAGUCCAUUUCCCAUGUCCGUCCUCUUUAAAGUGAUGAGCUCUCUACAUCAGGAGACACAGGGUGGCGACUUGCAGGUGUGGCCUGAGACAGCAGAAGUAGGAGCUCUGCAGGAAGUCCAGAUGGCAGUGUGCCCACUUCCCCAGCAUGAAGCAUCUGUGUCCAGCACAGGAGGAGGUGUAGAGAGACCCUUGCCUGAGCAUCCCUGAGAAAAGGAAGAGCCAGUGGUUUGGGGGACAAGUGAUGCCAUCGAGUGCCACCUCGGUGACAUGCUGCAGCCGCUGACCAGGGUCAAUGCCUCCAAGCCCUCAGAGGGAAGGAGGUGAGGCAAGGUGAGUCCUGCAGGGGCUUCCUAUCUGGAAAAGGCAGGAUAUCUCAGUCAGCAAGCAGCACCCAUUUUCUGGAGAUCAACAUGCAGAUGAGUUAGCCUGACACCCUAGGCCCUCCUGGUGUGCCUUCUGCCUGUUUCUGGCCCAUCUCACUCUGUAGGUGACUGAUAGGUCACCUCUGCACAGCUGCAUCUUCUGUCUCCUUUCUGCCCAGGGAAUUAAUCCCUUGGUCCUCAAGAGACUCAGGUCAGCUUCAGCCUCAGGGCUUUUGUGCCCACUGUCACCACCCUGACCCCCACUGCCAGCACUUCCUAACCUGACUUAACUCUCCGUAACAUUUCUUCCCAACACAUUCAUGUAUUUGCAGUUGGGACUCGUGUGCACUGAGUUGGUUCUAGCGUUGCAGGAAUGGUUGGGUCUGCUCAGUUUCUUCACCACUUUAAUCUGGGGCACUAGGCUUUCCACCAGCCCCGAUGUUAAUGACAGAGCAGCUGAGAGACUUUGAUCAGUCUUCAUCCCUGUGGUUGGUACGUGGGUCCUUCCAGAAGCCUAGGGUUUCUUUUCCUAUCCACACCUACCACAGUUCCUGGGACACAGUAAAGGAGCCCACUUAACGAAGUGGGACUUGACGUCCUGGGCUGCAAUUUUCCAUUUGGGUGUCUGGGUUUGUGCCUUCAGAGCCCUCCCCAGGCUUCAUGGGGUGCCCCAUCCCAGCUCUGGGGAGGGCUAUCUGAGAAGACAGAAGAAGGGGCUGGCCUAACCAGUGCUGUGUUUCUAUCCCAGAGGAGGCUGAGGAUCCUGCAUGCAUUCCCAUCUUCUGGGUCAGCCAGUGGGUAGACCAAUCAAUGAAGUAUGGACUUGGUAGGUGUCUCCAGAAUGUGGGAUGGGCAGGGGACGGUGUGGCCAUGGCAGCCUUUUAGUGAACAAGUGAGUGAUGUCUGUAAUUGUGUGGCUGUGUUACCAAGAAUUGUUAGGGCCUAAUACAUGCAAGCACUCUACUACUGAGCUGUUCCCAGCCUUUGCCCACCUCCUCCUGCCUUUCUAAGACAGCCCUCCCCCUGCCAUUAGGGUGUCAGCUCUGUGACAACAGUACAGGGGCACCCUUAAUGACUCAGCAUGCCUCGUCCUCUACAAUGAUGGCGACAGCCUCCAGUACAUAGACCAUGAUGGUAUGGAGUCUCACCCCACCAUCAGCUCCCACCCUGACUCCUUGAUGAAGAAGGUGGGAACUGGCUGCUGAGACACAGUGUGGCAGGAUAUGGGGGCUGCCUCAGGUCAGGCCCUCAUUCUGGAAUCCCUACCCCAACUUUCCAACCAGAUCCCUCUCCUCCAGCAUUUCCAAAGUUACAUGAAUGAACACCUGCAGAAGCAGGGGCCAACACCACACCCUGGGAAGGUGAUGAGCUGGCCCAGCUGCCCUACCUGAAAAAAUGGCGCCAUCAUCCUGCACCUCAGCAAUGGCACUAUACAGAUUGAUUUCUUCCAGCCUGUGCCCCCUGAUGGCAGCUGUGACCUACAUCAGCAAGAACCGGGACUUCCACACAUACAGCCUGAGCCUUCUGGAGGAAUAUGGAUGCUGCGAGGAACUGAGUAGACAGCUAUGCUAUGCCCACACCAUGGUAGACAGGCUGCUGAGCUCAAAGUCUACCUGCAACAGACUCGAGGAUGACUCCUAGGCCUCUGUCCUUUGGGCUGGUGCCCUUUACUAUGCAAGCUCUGCCUGGGACUGCAUUGCUGGCUUCUGGGACUGCUGUUCAGUGCCCCUGUCCAUGGGGCUGGGUAGGAAGGGGUUGCUGUGUAAGUUAUUUUUGUAUAUGUUUGGAUCUGAGUUUAUAAGCUCUUCCCCUGCCCUCAGUCUACUGUAUAACUUGUAUAGAUAUAUUUCUAUUGAAUUGAGACUGUUACUUCCUUGGCUUUAUAUUUAUUCAAUACAUGUGCAUAUCUUUUCUUA